UACGUAGGGGGCUAGCGUUAUCCGGAAUUACUGGGCGUAAAGGGUGCGUAGGUGGUUUCUUAAGUCAGAGGUGAAAGGCUACGGCUCAACCGUAGUAAGCCUUUGAAACUGGGAAACUUGAGUGCAGGAGAGGAGAGUGGAAUUCCUAGUGUAGCGGUGAAAUGCGUAGAUAUUAGGAGGAACACCAGUUGCGAAGGCGGCUCUCUGGACUGUAACUGACACUGAGGCAUGAAAGCGUGGGGAGCAAACAGG
rnacentral:rRNA from 1 species